GCCAUUUGUCAAUUUUUCUUAUUGGAUGACAUUGUUGGAUGGAUCUUUUUUCGAGCGGCGGCUUCAUUCGUGAAACAUCUCGCAAAUUAAUAAAGACAGACAAUUAUCAAAGUGUUGUAAAAAAGUGUUUCGAUACCAGUUCAAUUAAUUAAAACAUUAUUCAUUAACUACUUGCCAUUGGACGAAAGUGAAUUGAUGUUGGUCCUGAUAUCAGUGUCAAAUUGAAGUCUACAAAUAAAAAAAAAACAACAAAAGUGCUAAAUCAGUGAAUUCCUUACAGUUUCAUAUACAAGAAAAACAGCAAAAAAAAUUAUUCUUCAAACGAAAUUCCCUUUGCGAAAAAAGCAAAGUAUAGUGCUUGGAUACAAAGCGGCUCGGCAGGCAACAACAACAGAAUCGAAUAAAA
rnacentral:sRNA from 1 species